rnacentral:sRNA from 1 species
UUUUAAGGAAGUCAUGUUAAGUACGCGAUGACCUGUCGCAACACAUGUACUAGCACAUCCUAAUGC